AUGUGUGAGAGCCCUGCUAGUGAGAGCCACUCAGAACAGCUGAUUGGGGCUGCGGGCACCAAGGCCUGGACUCCUCUCCUGCUCGUGCUCCUCUCUCAGUGCACAGGUUCCCUCUCGCAGCCUGUGGUGACCCAGCCGCCCUGUGUCUCUGCGUCUCCGGGAGCAACGGCCAGACUCACCUGCACCCUCAGCAGUGGCUUCAGUGUUGGCAGCUCUGUUACAUCCUGGUACCAGCAGACGCCAGGGAGCCCUCCGCGGUUUCUGCUGUACAACCACUCAGACUCACAGAAGCACCAGGGCUCCGGGGUCCCCAGCCGCUUCUCUGGCUCCAAAGACGCCUCGGCCAACGCCGGGCUCCUGACCAUCUCCGGGCUGCAGCCCGAGGACGAGGCCGACUGUUACUGUAGUGCAUGUUAUAACAGUGGGGGCAUCUCUCAGUGCUCACGGUGGCUCAGAUGA